rnacentral:lncRNA from 1 species
UUUUUUUUUUUUUGAGACAGGUUGGAAUGCUGUAGUGUGAUCUGUAGCCUCGAUCUCCAAAGCUCAAGAAAUCCUCUCACCUCAGCCUCCUGAGGAGCUUGGGUCACAGGCACAUGCUACCAUGCCCAGCUAAUUUUGUUCGUUUUUGUAGAGAUGUGGUCUAUGUUCCCCAAGCUGGUCUUGAAUUCCUGAGCUCAAGGGAUCCUCCCAUCUUAGCCUCCCAAAGUGCUGGGAUUAAAGGCAUGAGACACCAUGCCCAGCCACCCAGCUGGCUUUUCCUUUUGUUUCUACAAAAAGAUUUUGUGUCUUUGUAAAAGGUUCUGUACCUGGUUUCCUGCAUCAGGUUUGGACAUCAGGAAUUGGAGUCCUUUGCACAUUCAACUACAUAGAUUUCUACCUUGUAGCAGAUUUCUACCUUGUGGUAGAUUUCUACCUGCGGUUUCUACCGUGUGGUUCUAGAGAGAAUUAUAAACAGUAGGCCGGGCGCAGUGGCUCACGCCUGUAAUCCCAGCACUUUGGGAGGCCGAGGCGGGCAGAUCACAAAGUCAGGAAUAUUGAGAAAUAACCAGAGGUCUCUACCACAGGGAAAAGAUAGGAUGCAGGGAAUGCCAGCGGAAGAAGUGAAACAGACGAGUGAUAUUAACCACGAGUUCCCUCCCACCUGCGUUAAACUAUGCAUAGUGUUGAAAUUAAUGUAUUCAUUUUCUCCAUUUCACCAGAGGAUAAACCUUUGCUGUUCUAGGGAUGGGAAAAUAAAUAAUAAGCAGUAAGAGCUGCCUGGAUAUGCUGUAUAAGGCUGGAGACAAGGGACUCUAAUUGCCCUGCUUAUUGGCUGGGCACGGUGGCUCACGCCUGUAAUCCCAACACUUUGGGAGGCUGAGGCAGACCUCACCUGAGGUCAAGAGUUCAAAACCAGCCUGGCCAACAGGUGAAACCCUGUUUCUACCAAAAAAAAUAGAAAAAUAAGCCAAGUCUGGUGGUGGACGCCUCUAGCCCUACCUAUUCAGGAGGCCGAGACAGGCGAACUGCUUGAACCUGGGAGGCAGAGGUUGCGCAGUGAGUCAAGACUGUGCCACUGCACUGCAGCCUGGGUGACAGAGCAAGACUCCAUCUCAAAGAAAAGUAAUAACAAAAAUAAUAAAAAGUUAGCUGGACGUGGUGGUGCAUGCCUGUUGUCCCAGCUACUCGGGAGGCUGAGGCAGGAGAAUUGCUUGAACCCAGGAGGUGGAGGUUAGAGUGAGUCAAGAUCACACCACUGCAUUCCACAGAGUGAGACUCUGCCUCAAAAAAACAAAACAAAAAAUAUAUAUGUAUAUAUAUAUUGCCGCGCUUAUAGAAGUUCAUUUUUUCCAUUUCCUUGAAAAGCAGAAUAAACCUAUGUUGUAAUAAAUCGAUGUAAAACAUAAAGUAUCAUCCUGCUACUAUGCAAUCAUAUAAAAUCAUACUAAGACAUUCACAUGUAAUAUGAUUAUUAAUAUCGUUGGUCCCACCUACUGGGGAGGCCGAGGCAGGAGAAUCACUUGAACCUGGGAGGCAGAGGCUGCAGUGAGCAGAGAUUGUGCCACUGCACUCCAGCCUGGGAGACAGAGCGAGACUCCAUCUCAAAAACAAACAAACAGACAAAAACACCCUUAGGUAAUGAUCACCAAUGACUGCUGACAUCUUUUUAAAAAAAAAAAAAAAAAAGAAAACCAGACAUCUUGUCCAUCUAUAUGGCUGUACACGACAUCACCUAUGAGUAAUCCUGGAAAAAAAAAAGAAGAACUUGAAUCUACGCCUCUUGAUCUAAUUAAGAAAUUACAGGACACACAAGGGCAGCAGAAAAAUAUGUCAAAUGAUACCACAAUGAGACAAUCUGCAAAAUCCAGGGUGUAAGAAAUUCUGCACUUUUUUCUACAAAUCAAAUGCAGAGAGAGGGAGGGAGGAAAGGAAGAGAGGGAGAAGGAAUCCAUGGAUCACAAGAGAAUGAAGGAACAUAUCACUGGUGAUGUAUGGAUCCUAUUAUCUAAACAAGAGCUCACUGAACUUUCCAAUUCAUGUGCUUCCCCUUGUUAACUGCACUGGCUCAUCCCAGGUCUUCUGUGCCAUCCUGUUUCCCAGUCUCUGCUGCGACAAAAAUAGCGAUAGGAAAAAUGGCAUUUUAUCAGGGGCCAUGUACUGG